rnacentral:rRNA from 1 species
AACGAACGCUGGCGGCAGGCUUAACACAUGCAAGUCGAACGCACUCUUCGGAGUGAGUGGCAGACGGGUGAGUAACGCGUGGGAAUCUACCCAGCCCUUCGGAAUAGCUCCGGGAAACUGGAAUUAAUACCGAGUACGCCCUACGGGGAAGGAUUAUCGGGUUGGAGUGAGCCCGCGUUGGAUUAGCUAGUUGGUGGGGUAAGUGGCCUACCAAGGCGACGAUCCAUAGCUGGUCUGAGAGGAUGAUCAGCCACACUGGGACUGAGACACGGCCCAGACUCCUACGGGAGGCAGCAGUGGGGAAUAUUGGACAAUGGGCGCAAGCCUGAUCCAGCCAUGCCGCGUGAGUGAUGAAGGCCUUA